GUUUCUACUCUGAGGAGGCACAGCACUGCGCAUGCUCGUCUAAUUCCGCUUUCCAACAGCAAAUGGAUGUAUUGUUAUCGUAACCUAAAGAGGAGCAAAAUCUUGUGCCCUAAAAAAAGUAGUAAUCGUUUUCAUGGAGGAAACUGGAUAGUGAAAGAUAAGUGGCAUCUCACUAGAAACUACAGGACUGAGCACACUCUGAUGAUGGGCGGAGUUUCAAGUGACACAGAGGAAGUAAGGGGAGCAGCUGCCAUGGAUGCUGAAGCUGUAUCUUCAGGUGAGUUUGUGUCCUCGUUAUAUGCGAGGCACACAUAUUCAAGUCCAUUUUCAUCCUUUUCGAUCUCAAAGUCGUCCAAGUCAUGCCAGACUAAAUUGAAGACCAAACCAGACUUUACGCUCCAAUGCCUCACUUUCCCGCAGACGCUUAAAAUCCAGGCCAGUAAUUCAGGGGGUGGUGUCUGGCCUUGUCUUUACCUGCUUUUCUGAAAGUUUUCAUGACUGAAAGGAAUACGUUCUUGUUGGUUUUAAACUCGUUGUCAACAGAGAUGUUAAAACUUCUACUGUUAAAACAUUUACUUAGUCCAGCUCAGCGUUAUAAAACUGGAGACUGAAUACUGGUCCCCAGUUGAACUUUUUGCACGGG